rnacentral:rRNA from 1 species
GUGCCAGCCGCCGCGGUAAUACGUAGGGGGCAAGCGUUGUCCGGAAUCACUGGGCGUAAAGCGCGCGCAGGCGGUCUUUCACGUCCGGGGUGAAAGCCCAGAGCUCAACUCUGGGAUUGCCUUGGAUACGGGGAGACUUGAGGGUCGGAGAGGCAAGGGGAAUUCCACGUGUAGCGGUGAAAUGCGUAGAGAUGUGGAGGAACACCUGUGGCGAAGGCGCCUUGCUGGCCGACUUCUGACGCUGAGGCGCGAAAGCGUGGGGAGCAAACAGGAUUAGAAACCCGCGUAGUCC